CAGCCGCCGCGGUAAUACGUAGGUGGCAAGCGUUGUCCGGAAUUAUUGGGCGUAAAGCGCGCGCAGGCGGUUUCUUAAGUCUGAUGUGAAAGCCCCCGGCUUAACCGGGGAGGGUCAUUGGAAACUGUUAGACUUGAGUGCAGAAGGGGAGAGUGGAAUUCCAUGUGUAGCGGUGAAAUGCGUAGAUAUAUGGAGGAACGCCGGUGGCGAAAGCGGCUCUCUGGUCUGUCACUGACGCUGAGGCUCGAAAGCGUGGGUAGCGAACAGGAUUAGAUACCCCGGUAGUCCCUGUCUCUUAUAC
rnacentral:rRNA from 1 species